rfam:Zootermopsis nevadensis contig21029, whole genome shotgun sequence.
GUACUCUGGUUUCCCUUCGAUACGCUUAAAUCUUUCGCCUUUUACUAAAGAUUUCCGUGGAGGGGAACAUUUGAUGAGUCUUUAAACAAUUUUUUGUUGCGCUCGGCGUAAGCUGGGCC